rnacentral:misc_RNA from 1 species
CCCUCCGUGCCCGGCAGCCACGCCGCCACCAGCGCGUCGAUGACAUCGACGAACGGCUCCACCACCAGCGGCCGCCCGGAGACGAGCACAACGACGCACUUGAUGGCGCCGCACACGUUCCGGAUGACGUCCGGCCCGGGCGCGGGGAUGGUCAGGUUGAGGUUGUCGCCGAACGUCUCGGCGUAGGGGGGCUCGCCGACGACGACGAUGGCGUAGCCAAAGCGGGCGCGGUUCUGCUGGAGGAAUGCCGCGUCGGGGUUCUCGGAGUAGACGACGUCCGUGCCGGGGGCGACGGCGCGCCGGACGCCGUCGAGGAUGGUGGUCCCGGCGGUGAGGUUGUUCCCCGUGAGGCCCUGCCAGGUGAUGGUCCACCCGCCGCACUGGCUGCCGAGGUCGUCGGCGUGGCUGCCGGCGACCAGGACGGCGCCGUUCUUGGGCAGCGGCAGCAUCGGGCCGGCGCCCGGCUUGCCGUUCUUGAGGAGGACGAGGGACUUGCGCACGGCCUCGCGCGCCAGGUCGCGGUGCUCCUGCUUGCCGAGCUCGCCCGCCAGGCUGGCGUCGGCGUAGGGGUGGUCGAAGAGGCCCAUGGUGAACUUGACGCGCAGGAUGCGGCGCACGGCGUCGUCGAUGCGGCUCAUGGGGAUGGUGCCGUUCCGCACCAGCAGCGUGAGGUCGUCGAUGAACUCCGUG